GGCAUGUUAUCUUUGAUGAAACUCAAUUUCCCUUCACCAAGAUACACUCCCCUUCACCUCACUCUUAUCAAUUCCUAGAUGAUGACCUUCACCCCUACCUUAUACAUCAGUGGCAAAAUCAAAUACUUCACCAAGAUACACUCCCCUUCACCUCACUCUUAUCAAUUCCUAGAUGAUGACCUUCACCCCUACCUUAUACAUCAGUGGCAAAAUCAAAUUUCACCACCUAUUGCACAUAACCAAC
rnacentral:lncRNA from 1 species